AUUGAACGCUGGCGGCAUGCCUUACACAUGCAAGUCGAACGGUAACAGGUCUUCGGAUGCUGACGAGUGGCGAACGGGUGAGUAAUACAUCGGAACGUGCCUAGUAGUGGGGGAUAACUACUCGAAAGAGUGGCUAAUACCGCAUGAGAUCUACGGAUGAAAGCAGGGGAUCGAAAGACCUUGUGCUACUAGAGCGGCCGGUGGCAGAUUAGGUAGUUGGUGGGAUAAAAGCUUACCAAGCCGACGAUCUGUAGCUGGUCUGAGAGGAUGAUCAGCCACACUGGGACUGAGACACGGCCCAGACUCCUACGGGAGGCAGCAGUGGGGAAUUUUGGACAAUGGGCGAAAGCCUGAUCCAGCAAUGCCGCGUGCAGGAUGAAGGCCUUCGGGUUGUAAACUGCUUUUGUACGGAACGAAAAGCUCUGGGUUAAUACCCUGGGGUCAUGACGGUACCGUAAGAAUAAGCACCGGCUAACUACGUGCCAGCCGCCGCGGUAAAAC
rnacentral:rRNA from 1 species